UACGGAGGGGGCUAGCGUUGUUCGGAAUUACUGGGCGUAAAGCGUGCGCAGGCGGUUUUGUAAGUCUGACGUGAAAUCCCCGGGCUCAACCUGGGAAUUGCGUUGGAGACUGCAAGGCUGGAGUCUGGCAGAGGGGGGUAGAAUUCCACGUGUAGCAGUGAAAUGCGUAGAGAUGUGGAGGAACACCGAUGGCGAAGGCAGCCCCCUGGGUCAAGACUGACGCUCAUGCACGAAAGCGUGGGGAGCAAACAGG
rnacentral:rRNA from 1 species